AUUGAACGCUGGCGGCAUGCCUUACACAUGCAAGUCGAACGGCAGCACGGGUGCUUGCACCUGGUGGCGAGUGGCGAACGGGUGAGUAAUACAUCGGAACGUACCUUAUCGUGGGGGAUAACGCAGCGAAAGCUGUGCUAAUACCGCAUACGCCCUGAGGGGGAAAGCGGGGGGAUCGAAAGACCUCGCGCGAUUAGAGCGGCCGAUGCCUGAUUAGCUUGUUGGUGGGGUAAAAAGCCCACCAAGGCGACGAUCAGUAGCUGGUCUGAGAGGACGAUCAGCCACACUGGGGACUGAGACACGGCCCAGACUCCUACGGGAGGCAGCAGUGGGGAAUUUUGGACAAUGGGGGAAACCCUGAUCCAGCAAUGCCGCGUGAGUGAAGAAGGCCUGGUGUUAAAGCUCUUUGUCAGGAGAA
rnacentral:rRNA from 1 species